rfam:Salmo salar isolate Sally breed double haploid chromosome ssa14, whole genome shotgun sequence.
UAGCUCAGUUGGUAGAGCAUGGUGUUUGCAAAGCCAGGGUUGUGGGUUCGAUUCCCAC